rnacentral:rRNA from 1 species
GUGGGGAAUAUUGGACAAUGGGCGAAAGCCUGAUCCAGCCAUGCCGCGUGUGUGAAGAAGGUCUUCGGAUUGUAAAGCACUUUAAGUUGGGAGGAAGGGCAGUAAGUUAAUACCUUGCUGUUUUGACGUUACCAACAGAAUAAGCACCGGCUAACUUCGUGCCAGCAGCCGCGGUAAUACGAAGGGUGCAAGCGUUAAUCGGAAUUACUGGGCGUAAAGCGCGCGUAGGUGGUUCAGCAAGUUGAAGGUGAAAUCCCCGGGCUCAACCUGGGAACUGCCACCCGAACUACUGAGCUAGAGUACGGUAGAGGGUAGUGGAAUUUCCUGUGUAGCGGUGAAAUGCGUAGAUAUAGGAAGGAACACCAGUGGCUAAUGCGACUACCUGGACUGAUACUGACACUGAGGUGCGAAAGCGUGGGGAGCAAACAGGAUUAGAAACCCUUGUAGUCC